UGUUACUCCCCCCUAGACACCCAGGAAGAUUUGGCGUUGCUUGACAACAGUUUGAGGCAGGAUAAAGAGCUCCAGCAACGAUUUCUUCGGUUUUUGGCAAUCAAAUGUGGGAGGGACCUAAAGACAACCGUGUGGCGAAUGCUUCAGAGUAUCUUCUCUAAUCACCUUUCCAUCAAUACAACCUGGACUGUUGUAGGGGAUAAAGCAUGUUUUAGAGACAUGUUCCUGAAGACCAUUGUUCAAAUAAAGAGCCAUCUGGAAGAACCCGGCAACCCAAAAUGCCACUGAUGAGGCGAUCCAGGUUAACGUUACGCGUUACCUGAAAGGAGCAUCUGAAUGUGAAGGUGGAAAAAGGCGCUGCACAGGUUAGAGGGACCCACAGCCGACCCCUUAAACCUAGGCUGACUACUGACACCCCAGCAUCACUGACAACUGGAACCCUUUCUUUAUCCUGCAGUCAGUAACAUCAAGACCCCUAAAAAAGCCUGCUAAAAGUGUCAGACUACACUCACCCAAUCCACACUGUUCACUGUGGAAAUUGCUCUUUUUGUUUUUUUUUUCUUUUCUCUCGUGACCCUGCUUUGAGGGCAGCUCCUUGGAUGAAUAUGGGAUGGUUUGUCCUUUUAUACAGGCGCACACGGAAUCACUGAAGAUAUGCCAAUUUGCACUGCCUCAUUCUGGAGGUCGGGGAAAACCGGUGAUUCUUAGCCCACUAUGCCACGCAGUCCCCAACCACUCCAGACAUUCUGAUUGACUGUGUUCUCUACAGCCAGAUUUUCUGCUGUUAAUUAUAUUUAUUCCCACUUGUUGUCAUGUGUAAGUUGAAUGUCAAAAUUUAUAUUAUGCCUGUUAUCCUGCACAUUCUUUGAUACCAAAGAUCUCAAUUAUUUAAUAUACAAUUUGCUGCUUAUUUCAUUGUUA